AGAGUUUGAUCCUGGCUCAGGACGAACGCUGGCGGCGUGCUUAACACAUGCAAGUCGAGCGGUAAGGCCUUUCGGGGUACACGAGCGGCGAACGGGUGAGUAACACGUGGGUGAUCUGCCCUGCACUCUGGGAUAAGCUUGGGAAACUGGGUCUAAUACCGGAUAUGACCGCAGCAUGCAUGUGGUGUGGUGGAAAGAUUUAUCGGUGCAGGAUGGGCCCGCGGCCUAUCAGCUUGUUGGUGGGGUAAUGGCCUACCAAGGCGACGACGGGUAGCCGACCUGAGAGGGUGACCGGCCACACUGGGACUGAGACACGGCCCAGACUCCUACGGGAGGCAGCAGUGGGGAAUAUUGCACAAUGGGCGGAAGCCUGAUGCAGCGACGCCGCGUGAGGGAUGAAGGCCUUCGGGUUGUAAACCUCUUUCAGCAGGGACGAAGCGUGAGUGACGGUACCUGCAGAAGAAGCACCGGCUAACUACGUGCCAGCAGCCGCGGUAAUACGUAGGGUGCGAGCGUUGUCCGGAAUUACUGGGCGUAAAGAGUUCGUAGGCGGUUUGUCGCGUCGUUUGUGAAAACCCGGGGCUCAACUUCGGGCUUGCAGGCGAUACGGGCAGACUUGAGUGUUUCAGGGGAGACUGGAAUUCCUGGUGUAGCGGUGAAAUGCGCAGAUAUCAGGAGGAACACCGGUGGCGAAGGCGGGUCUCUGGGAAACAACUGACGCUGAGGAACGAAAGCGUGGGUAGCAAACAGGAUUAGAUACCCUGGUAGUCCACGCCGUAAACGGUGGGCGCUAGGUGUGGGUUCCUUCCACGGGAUCUGUGCCGUAGCUAACGCAUUAAGCGCCCCGCCUGGGGAGUACGGCCGCAAG
rnacentral:rRNA from 1 species